rnacentral:rRNA from 1 species
UGCAGUCGAGCGGGGAAGGGUAGCUUGCUACCUGACCUAGCGGCGGACGGGUGAGUAAUGCUUAGGAAUCUGCCUAUUAGUGGGGGACAACAUUCCGAAAGGAAUGCUAAUACCGCAUACGCCCUACGGGGGAAAGCAGGGGAUCUUCGGACCUUGCGCUAAUAGAUGAGCCUAAGUCAGAUUAGCUAGUUGGUGGGGUAAAGGCCUACCAAGGCGACGAUCUGUAGCGGGUCUGAGAGGAUGAUCCGCCACACUGGGACUGAGACACGGCCCAGACUCCUACGGGAGGCAGCAGUGGGGAAUAUUGGACAAUGGGCGAAAGCCUGAUCCAGCCAUGCCGCGUGUGUGAAGAAGGCCUUUUGGUUGUAAAGCACUUUAAGCGAGGAGGAGGCUACUUGGAUUAAUACUCUAGGAUAGUGGACGUUACUCGCAGAAUAAGCACCGGCUAACUCUGUGCCAGCAGCCGCGGUAAUACAGAGGGUGCGAGCGUUAAUCGGAUUUACUGGGCGUAAAGCGUGCGUAGGCGGCUUUUUAAGUCGGAUGUGAAAUCCCUGAGCUUAACUUAGGAAUUGCAUUCGAUACUGGGAAGCUAGAGUAUGGGAGAGGAUGGUAGAAUUCCAGGUGUAGCGGUGAAAUGCGUAGAGAUCUGGAGGAAUACCGAUGGCGAAGGCAGCCAUCUGGCCUAAUACUGACGCUGAGGUACGAAAGCAUGGGGAGCAAACAGGAUUAGAUACCCUGGUAGUCCAUGCCGUAAACGAUGUCUACUAGCCGUUGGGGCCUUUGAGGCUUUAGUGGCGCAGCUAACGCGAUAAGUAGACCGCCUGGGGAGUACGGUCGCAAGACUAAAACUCAAAUGAAUUGACGGGGGCCCGCACAAGCGGUGGAGCAUGUGGUUUAAUUCGAUGCAACGCGAAGAACCUUACCUGGUCUUGACAUAGUAAGAACUUUCCAGAAAAUGGAUUGGUGCCUUCGGGAACUUACAUACAGGUGCUGCAUGGCUGUCGUCAGCUCGUGUCGUGAAAAGGUUGGGGUUAAGUCCCGCAACGAGCGCAACCCUUUUCCUUAUUUGCCAGCGGGGUAAAGCGCGGAACUUUAAGGAUACU